UACGUAGGGUCCAAGCGUUGUUCGGAUUUACUGGGCGUAAAGGGCGCGUAGGCGGCAUGACAAGUCACUUGUGAAAUCUCCGGGCUUAACUCGGAACGGCCAAGUGAUACUGUCAAGCUAGAGUGCAGAAAGGGCAAUCGGAAUUCUUGGUGUAGCGGUGAAAUGCGUAGAUAUCAAGAGGAACACCUGAGGCGAAGGCGGGUUGCUAGGCUGACACUGACGCUGACAGCGCGAAAGCCAGGGGAGCAAACGGG
rnacentral:rRNA from 1 species